GUUUCUUAAAAAAUAACACUGCCAGUCUUAACAUCUGCCAUAUCAAUAGUCAAAGGCAAUUAAGCUGAGAGAAGAAUAGAGUGUAAAUCCCAAAGUUUCAUGUAUGUUUAAUAGGGGUUAUAUGGGUCAGAAACAAAGUGUUGUGUGAAAAUAUUUAAAUCACCCUUCAAGCAUAGGGUUGUAAGGCAUAUAUCUUCAACUGUUGAUAAACUAUAACAAUUCCUUAAACAACUUGUGC